UAAUAGAGGGAAAAUGUGUUUCUGGAUAAGAGAGUCUAUGUGAUUAAGUAAUUAAGAAGGUUUAAGUAAGUGAUAAAAAAGGUUUGUGUAAGUUGGUUAUGGGUGUAAGUUUUUAAGCAAGUAAUCUUAAAGAAAUUAAAGAUUAUACAACUAUGGUUAAACAACAGCUGUUAUUUUUCAAUAUUGUAAUGUUGUUUCUUUAAAAGCUAACCUCGGUUAAUAUAAAAACAUCAAUGUAAUUAUGGUGCUGUUAAUGUGUUCAUAUCUUCCAGGUAUACAAGUCUGUAAGGUAGAAGCUUCAAAAGAACCUUGUAUCAAGCUGGUGUUCUAAAGUUGUAUGGUAAUUCUGGGCUUAAAAAAAGAAAAAACAUGUUGGAGAUUUGUUCAUAUCAUUUGUGUUCUACGAUUGGACUUGUUAUCAAUACGAUAUGUAUGGUUCCAUGUUACUUUUUACACUGAGAUACAAUUUAAAUGUAUUUUUAAGUUAAUGAGAGCCUAAUCUGUGUAAAGGUUUUAUUGUAAAACACCAAAGUACUUUGCUACUUUUCUAUAAAAGGUUAAAAGCUUUCAGCCUUUAAUUCAUGUUUUAGGUGUGAUAUUAUGUUGUGUUAGCUAAUGUUCAUGUAAACUUGAACAACAAUUUAUGUAAACUUUGUAAAAUGAUCAGCUUCAGAACUAUAGUACUUGAGAUUUAUAAAGAGCCCUGCCUUACUUGAGAUAAGGCUCUGUCCCAUCUCACUACAUGUAAAAGUGGCUAUGAAAGAAGUAAGCCAGAUUUCAGUACAGUUAAAGUUGUGUCCAAAAGUAGGUUUUUGCCAAGAUUACUAGGAUCUCAAACAGGGAAUUAUGAUGUAUAACCCUGCCAGAAUUCAAGGUAGCUAUUAUGUAAGCUAAAUAUGUUUUUACCCUAGUUAGUUUUGUUUUCUAGUUUGCUUAUAGAUGGUUUAAGGAUUGCCUGUUAAUGUUUUAAAGAGGUACUGCUUUAAGAACUCACAACCUGGGUCAACAUAAGAUAAGGAGUUAUCACCUACAGGAUAGAGAGAUAAACAUUAAAGCCCAGUGCUCUUAAUAUAAGGCUGUUAACUUAUUUUCUGGAUGUUUAAGAUCAAGUUUUUAAAAUUAAAGUUAAAUUAAAAGGGCUAAGAAAACCAAUAUUCGGCUCUUGCCUUCUGAGUCAGUCUGAAUCAGGGAAUAGGGGACUUCUCCAAAGGGCUCUGCAACUCUAGGCCACAUAACCUCCUGAGCAGGGAGAUUAAUGAGACCAGUGGAGGACAGAAAACCAAUCAGUGCAUUUGCUGUGAAGAGGAGGGUCAUUAAAAAGGGGAGACAUCCCUGAUGCUUCCGAGGGAAGCCACAUGGUCAAGCAAGGCCUGGACCCAUCCUAAGGUAAAUGGCACUAGCAGAACUGAGAAGCUGCUGUAAGUUCCCCGAGGACUCCCAGGGAAACUCAGCUGACUGUUGACAAUAGAUAAGAACAAAAGUCAGUUUGACUUGCUUCAUCUUAAACACUUAGCAAAGAUAGUUAAAGCCAAAGCACAGCUGUUCCUGGACAUUUUAAAUGAUAAUAAUAAUUAAAUGUAACUUCCAAAAAUAAGUAAACUGGAGGCUACAAAAGAGAUUCUCAGACAGGAAUGCCUGAUAACUAUUAAAAGGAACUGCCAGAGUAGUUUUAGCUUAAGGUUAAGGCCUUUAUUCCUAACCUACACAGGUAGGCUUGGUGUUUGCUAGUAUGGUUAUCCAGCCCUAAGUAGCAAAAUUAAAGGUUUCUCUAUUAGACAUAGGUCAUACUAGUAAAAAGGAUUUUACAAGAUCAGAUGACAUUAAAUUAUUAGACUAUAUCUUAAAGAAAAGAACAUCUGUAAACCUAAAUGUUAGUUGUUGUGUUUACAUCCCUGACAUUUCUGGCAAGGUGACACAUAUCCUUAAAGAUUUACAUGCUCAGAUAGAAGCCAUGUCCUCAGCAAAUUUGUCAUGGAAACAAUAUCUUAGCUUCUGGUUCUUGGUACUUCCUGGUGAAAAACAUUGUUAGUCUCUGUCUUGGCCAUUAUACUCCUUGGCAUAUUCCUGUGCUGUGACAUUUAUUGCUGCAUCAAUAUGGUUCCAAUAAAUUAAUGAAUUCUUGUUUCUCUUAGAGACCACCUAUCCCUCGAAUGGCCCUCCAGCCUAAUACUUCUCAAUUGGACUUUUAUCAUGGACCACUCGAUAGACCCGAUAUUUUUAAAGGGGGACUCCAAACUGCUUGCCCCACACUGUCCCUUUUCAGCCUGAAGAAGCCAGAAAGAUUCUCUUCGCCCCCCCCUUCCUUAGAGCAGUAAGGAGUUCCCAAAUUAGAGGAGGGAAUUAAGCCAGAUUUAAAGUUAGGUAGUCAGUAUAGUUAGAUAAAUCGGGGUCUAAUACCGAGUGGAAUCUAAAAUGGAGGCCAUGCUGAAAAUGAUUCCAGGGAACGCAAAACAACUCAUGAAAUGUGAAACCCUUCAAUAAUUGUGAUGCAUUACUUUUAAGAUUAAAAGUAGUCAGAAAAAGGAGUGGGGAAUGUAACGGUAAAAGAAAUUGAAGUUAAAGCGUAAAAGUUAAAGGGUAAAAGACCGGGUGUUGUAAAGUUUCUAAGCUGCAAGGUCUGAGUUAAAAUGUAAAGGAUUAGGUAUUGUUAGGUUUCUACACUACCUGCAAAACCUGAAAUUUCUGUAGCUGUUAAGACAAUGCUUGGAACUGCCCAGUAAAUAUUUCCCCUGACUACUUGGUUGUUUAAUAACUGAAGGGCUCUGUGUAACUGGCCACGUAGUCAUUUAGGCCCUAAACCAAUCAGUUUGAAUGUGUACUCUCCCUAGGAAUGACCUAUCACUCCAGCCUGACCUGUUCCCACCAAUGAAUGAACUAAUCAUGUUUAGGAGUUGUUGUUCAAUUUUCCCGUGCCUCAUGAUGAUUUGUUCUGAUGUAUACAAAGCCCUCCGCUCUCCCCAAAAAGUGUACUUAAGCAGUGCUCAGCCCCUGCUCGGGGCUCUGGGCUGCUUUCCCUUCUUGAGUGGGCACGGAGCCCCAGCAUGCUGGUUCAAUAAAUCCCCUUCUG
rnacentral:lncRNA from 1 species